rnacentral:sRNA from 1 species
CUCAAUGUGGCCCAUAACGCCAUCUUACGGGCCAGCCUGCCUAAGGACAGGAGCCCCGAGGAGUAUGGAAUCACCGUCAUUAGCCAACCCCUGAACCUGACCAAGGAGCAGCUCUCAGAGAUUACGGUGCUGACCACUUCAGUGGAUGCUGUGGUUGCCAUCUGUGUGAUUUUCUCCAUGUCCUUCGUCCCAGCCAGCUUUGUCCUUUAUUUGAUCCAGGAGCGGGUGAACAAAUCCAAGCACCUCCAGUUUAUCAGUGGAGUGAGCCCCACCACCUACUGGGUGACCAACUUCCUCUGGGACAUCGUAAGUGUCAGUUUACAGCGCCUCCCUCCCCUCCGUGGGCCCAAGGUGGAGUUUGUGUGUGCUCUGAAGGACCAGACCGAGUGGGGAGGGGUUCUCAUGGUGCCAGGGAUGCUGAAAGGCACUGGGCCAAGGGCCUUGUGUAUCUGCUGUCCCUUGACAUCUUCUUAGAAAGGCAGAACU